GGAAAGGUGCUCGAGUGGUUGAAGAGGCACGCCUGGAAAGCGUGUAACCGCCUAAAGCGGUUCGUAGGUUCGAAUCCUAUCCUUUCCGCAA
rnacentral:tRNA from 2 species